UUUUCCUUCUUUAUUCUUUUAUUUCUCUUUCCAUGUGCUGUGUGUAUGACCGUGAAGGUUCACGCUGCAAGCGGCUGGCUCUAGGAACGCAGCGGCGCUGCGUGCCCGCUAGUGAGAGGCCUUCAGCCUCGGAGGGGUCAGCGCCAGGCCCUGCUGAGCCCCCGACAGACAGCUUAUAUACCUUUUAUUCAUUAUAACACCAUGAAUUGCCAACGCAGCUCUUGUUGCUCGCUGCAUGUGGUCAUUUGGGCAGAUAAAGCCGCGGCACAGGUGCUGUGAGCUUUGUGAGUGCUCUGUGGUGGUCCCUGGGGGAGAAGUACCCCCUCGUGUAAUCCCUCUGUGGAGAUCCGUUAGUUAAGGACAUUGGAUACGUGGUUAGUCUUCCCAAUUAACUCCAUGUUUUUAUUUGGUUUAAUUUACGACCCUGAGAGGCUCUUCUUUACCUUUUCUUAGGCUUGAUCAACAGGAGGAAGGCUCACAUUAGUUUUAUAGAAUCAUAGACUGGUUUGGGUUGGAAAGGACCUUAAGAUCAUCCAGUUCCAACCCCUGCCGUGGGCAGGGACCCCUCACACUAAACCAUGUCACCCAAGACUCCAUCCAACCUGGCCUUGAACACUGCCAGGGAUGGAGCAUUCACAACUUCUUGGGCAACCCAUUCCAACGCCUCACCACCCUCACAGGAAAGAACUUCUUCCUUAUAUCCAACCUGAACUUCCCCUAUUUCAGUUUGAACCCAUCACCCCUUGUCCUGUUUCUGCAGUCCCUGAUGAAGAGUCCAUUUUCGAGUCCAUGUUUGAGAGAGGACGUCUGGUUCUCUUGUUGCACCUUCCUGAUCUUAUAUCCUCUACAGACAAUGAAAUACCAGUUUAAGAAUCCUUGUAACCCUAUCUAAGUCUCUAAAUUCAGUGAAAUACUAAUGGGUUGGAACGAGAUGAUCUUAAGGUCCUUUCCAACCCUAACUAUUCCAUGAUUUAAUUGACUAUCAGGGGGACCCCCUGGGCUGCACUGCCUCAGCCGCUCCUCACCGUCAUCUUCUCUUCCCUAAGGCGCUGCUGAUUCCUGCCCCGUCCUCCUCUAACUUGCUCCCGCCUUCUAAACUGAAGAAGUUUGAGAGUGAUGCAGUGCUUUAGAAGGUACUGGUGAUGGAUUGCAGUGAGAUGCUAACAAAAAAGAAUCCACGUGUCUUAUGGGAGAAGGUGGGUAUGUUGAGAACCAACCCAAAUAUUAGGUGAUGGCUGAGGCUGAGUUCAUGCAGUAGCCACAGAGAGUGGGAUGGCAGCAGAAGGGUGGCUGCCUUUGGUGGCCUCCGAUAGCACAUGCUUCGUGCUAGGCACUGCCCAUUAAAUGGCUCCUGCUCUGUUGGAAGAGAAGGUGCAGGCAGAUUGUGUACCUGCCAGUGUGCAGGGCUCCUCUCUGUGGGCUAGGACCUGCAGACCAGCACCCCCAUCCGCUGAGGGCUUGGGAGAGAAAGCAUUCAGCUCCAUGUGGGGAGAGGAUGUGUGGGGAAGCUGCUGGAGGGGUGGAUUGCAUGAUAUGGGCUGGGCAGCAAGUCGUGCAUCCACAUAACCUGUAAUAAAGCCUUAAAAUGCUGAUUUGUAAACCUGUAUGUGGCUGCAGUAAAGAACUAAAUAAACUUUA